CCCAGCCAUUCCCCCGUCGCCCAAGCUCCCCUUCAGCCCGACGUCCAGCUGCGUAUUGCCCGAGCCUCCGAUAGCUGUCCGAAGCUCGCCACCAUCGACAUCCCCUCGCCCCCGCUCAGCAUCACCGCUGGCUCAUAACCCUCGCCCUCACCAUCACCUCGACCUCCUCCUUUCCACCGCCCGAAAUCGCCGACUUCGGAGCUCGCCACCCCCGCCCAGACUCGUCGUCGAGCUCAGGUCUCCGCUCGUAUCGCUUUGAAGAUGGUGAUGAUGCUUUGUUCCUCGCGCAUUGCUUCUCGAUUGAUCCGAGCUUCAAAUAGUCUUGCCAUUCCCGCCACCGGAGCCAGGUCGUCUCCGAUCAAUUCUCAGUUUAAGAUCCCUUCUCAACAAUUCAUCGAUCUCCAUAAGAAUGCAUGAAUAUGUUUAAGAUUUUUCUCCAAUUGACUGCUGCAGAAUUUUCUUUAGUCUGGCAAUGAUAACUUUUUAAUUUGUGUAGCUUCAAUGGCAAGGAAGAUUUACCUUAGACAAGGAAUUGGGGUAGGUGGAUUCCAGAAGAUCUAUGGUGGGCGUAAGAGAAAUGGAAGUCAUCCUCCACAUUUCUGCAAGAGUAGUGGUGCUGUAGCUCGCCACAUCCUCCAACAAUUGCAAGUGAUGAAUAUCAUUGAUGUUGAUACUAGGGGCUGGGGGCAGAGCACAUUUAACUUUGUAGCUGUUUAUGUUUGAUUGCAACGGAUGGAGAAGGAUUUAGUUGUUGCGUUGUUUUGCUUGUAAGGUGGGUUGAUUGCCCCAUAUAUAUAUGUAAUGUGUGUCGAAGUCUUUUUUUUGUAAACUGGUAUGUACUCCAUUGAUUGUACUUGAACGUGAACAUUUUUUUGUAUAACUGAAGCGGGUUGUAAGGCAUUUGGGAAUUCAAUGAUGCUUUGUAGCUGAUGUUUGUUUGAUUCAGAUUUUAUUCAGGUUUUGAUUGUA